CGGCGUGCCUAAUACAUGCAAGUCGAGCGAGCGGAACUAACAGAUUUACUUCGGUAAUGACGUUAGGAAAGCGAGCGGCGGAUGGGUGAGUAACACGUGGGGAACCUGCCCCAUAGUCUGGGAUACCACUUGGAAACAGGUGCUAAUACCGGAUAAGAAAGCAGAUCGCAUGAUCAGCUUUUAAAAGGCGGCGUAAGCUGUCGCUAUGGGAUGGCCCCGCGGUGCAUUAGCUAGUUGGUAAGGUAAAGGCUUACCAAGGCGAUGAUGCAUAGCCGAGUUGAGAGACUGAUCGGCCACAUUGGGACUGAGACACGGCCCAAACUCCUACGGGAGGCAGCAGUAGGGAAUCUUCCACAAUGGACGCAAGUCUGAUGGAGCAACGCCGCGUGAGUGAAGAAGGUUUUCGGAUCGUAAAGCUCUGUUGUUGGUGAAGAAGGAUAGAGGUAGUAACUGGCCUUUAUUUGACGGUAAUCAACCAGAAAGUCACGGCUAACUACGUGCCAGCAGCCGCGGUAAUACGUAGGUGGCAAGCGUUGUCCGGAUUUAUUGGGCGUAAAGCGAGCGCAGGCGGAAGAAUAAGUCUGAUGUGAAAGCCCUCGGCUUAACCGAGGAACUGCAUCGGAAACUGUUUUUCUUGAGUGCAGAAGAGGAGAGUGGAACUCCAUGUGUAGCGGUGGAAUGCGUAGAUAUAUGGAAGAACACCAGUGGCGAAGGCGGCUCUCUGGUCUGCAACUGACGCUGAGGCUCGAAAGCAUGGGUAGCGAACAGGAUUAGAUACCCUGGUAGUCCAUGCCGUAAACGAUGAGUGCUAAGUGUUGGGAGGUUUCCGCCUCUCAGUGCUGCAGCUAACGCAUUAAGCACUCCGCCUGGGGAGUACGACCGCAAGGUUGAAACUCAAAGGAAUUGACGGGGGCCCGCACAAGCGGUGGAGCAUGUGGUUUAAUUCGAAGCAACGCGAAGAACCUUACCAGGUCUUGACAUCUAGUGUCAUUUGUAGAGAUACAAAGUUCCCUUCGGGGACGCUAAGACAGGUGGUGCAUGGCUGUCGUCAGCUCGUGUCGUGAGAUGUUGGGUUAAGUCCCGCAACGAGCGCAACCCUUGUUAUUAGUUGCCAGCAUUAAGUUGGGCACUCUAAUGAGACUGCCGGUGACAAACCGGAGGAAGGUGGGGAUGACGUCAAGUCAUCAUGCCCCUUAUGACCUGGGCUACACACGUGCUACAAUGGGCAGUACAACGAGAAGCGAGCCUGCGAAGGCAAGCGAAUCUCUGAAAGCUGUUCUCAGUUCGGACUGCAGUCUGCAACUCGACUGCACGAAGCUGGAAUCGCUAGUAAUCGCGGAUCAGCACGCCGCGGUGAAUACGUUCCCGGGCCUUGUACACACCGCCCGUCACACCAUGGGAGUCUGCAAUGCCCAAAGCCGGUGGCCUAACCUUCGGGAAGGAGCCGUCUAAGGCAGGGCAGAUGACUGGGGUGAA
rnacentral:rRNA from 1 species